rnacentral:lncRNA from 1 species
UUUUAUCCAACAAUAAAUUUGGAUUUACUUUGUCACAUAGUAAUUUCAGGAAUCAAAGAUAAUUAUUCUUUCAAUUGUUCAAAAUGGUCCGGACAGUAUCAAAUUAUGCCAAAUUGGAUGCAAGUGCCACAUUAAUAAUUUGGAGAACUUUGCAAUUUUUCUAGCAAAUCUGAACAAACUUCAAGUAGAGGAAUAGGACCACUAUAUCGAAAAUUCCUAAUAGUUGACUCUGAAGUCUUUGUAGUCACAUUUCGCACCGUUUUAUAUUAACUCAAUUCACAAUUCCUUACUCUUCUCUAACAGGUCUUCCACUCGCAAGUCGACUCAAAAAUCAUGCCGACAAGGAUGUAUUUCCUCUCGAGGGCAUUCUGCUUAGAAGUCACAAUUCGUCACACAUUUCCAUGAGCUCUUGUGGUAGAAAAUUCCCUCCAAUGAAAUAGGAAACUGCUUUUGAGGCAAUCAGCUUGUUGACGAAGCUCUACGUAAUUUAUCCUUUUCACAUCAAGCAAGGCUCAACGGCUACUUUUGUCUCCAAUUUGAAGAAGCAGGCGCUUUUCCUUUUCCGAGGCACGACGUUAACUCGAGUAUACAGCUCGAUCAUGCUACAUAAGCAGUUGCUGAAAUACCGUUUCCUACUAGCUUAGUCGAAAAGCUGCUUUUAGAGAAAGCCACAUAUCAAUCUAUUAUGCUGAUGGCGCUUUUGGCGGUGCAGUUGUAUAGUCAUUUUCCUUCUUCCCGCACUUUUCCUGCUAGGUUAUUAUUGUAGUUAUGCCAUGUAUUUACAUCAAUUCUUUUUCAUGUACGUAUCACAUAGAACAGAAAUUUGCAUUGUUUUUGAGAAACUUGUAUACAUUUCUUAUCUAGCGGAACGAAGAUCGAUCAAAUUCACAAUUUCGCUUUAUUUUUUGCUCCAUUGAAAAAUUGUCGAGAAUCUGAAAGGUGAUCGUGCAAGGUGUAUCAAUUCUCUUCUAGUUUUUACUGCUUUUUUAAUCCACUAGAUUUUCACCCGUGCGAUGCACGGCUAAUAUAAUAAUAUAGAAUAAUAAAAAUUAUUAUGUAAUGAUAACAAAAAAAUUUUCUAAUUAAUUUUAUAUUUUUUAACAAAUAAAAAAAUAUACUAUCAAUCUUAAUUAUAGUACAUAUUAAAGUAUACAAGCUAGAGAAAAAAAAUUUGGACCAAAGUAAAUAUUCAACUAAAAUACAAAAUUCAAUCCUGCUCUAUUAUCUAUGAAUUGGUGUGCAAAACAAUUUACAUUUAUAUAUUGAUGUGCGAAAUAAAAUGAUAACUAAAAUUGAUAUGAAAAAUUACAAAUGACAUUAAUAUUUAAGCAUAUAAUGAGAUCAACUAAACUUUCAUAUUUGACACAAAUUAGAGUAAGCACACAUAUAUUAUGUUCCUACUGUCGCUUUUAAGAUUCAAAAAUAUAUAGAUGUUGGUUUUCAAGAAAAUAUAAAGAAAAAAAAUUUUGUUGCAUGAAGAUGAAAAGUUACAUGAGUGACAGAAGGGAAAAAAAUUACGAAAUGAAAAUUACAGAAGUGACAGUAGGGAAAUAAUAUGUUCUAUUUUAAAGCAUCAAUAUUUAAGGGCGAAGAAAAUUACAGUAGUGAUGUGAGUUUUAAAUUUUUUUCUCUUUCCAAAAAUGCCUCUAUCCUUUUUUACUAAUAUUUUUAUGUCCAGAAAUUUUCAACCAAUCAUUUUAAAUAAUUAACUAAGUAAUAAUUUAUUCCCAAAUAAAGAUAAAUAUUUUUCUUCUCACGCGUAAUAUCCGCACCGCCAAUUCUUUCGCAACAUAAUAUCCAUAAAUUUCUCAAAUAUCUCAACAUAAUUAUAGGUGACUUUGAAAUAAAAUUUCCUUCAUUAUAUGUGAUUUUUAAUAAUAUAGUAAAAGAUAUUAAUUUUUUAUAAAAACGUGAGUUUUGAAUUUUUUCUCUUUCCAAAAAUGUCUCUAUCCUUUUUUACUAAUAUUUUUAUGUCCAGAAAUUUUCAACCAAUCAUUUUAAAUAAUUAACUAAGUAAUAAUUUAUUCCCAAAUAAAGAUAAAUAUUUUUCUUCUCACGCGUAAUAUCCGCACCGCCAAUUCUUUCGCAACAUAAUAUCCAUAAAUUUUUCAAAUAUCUCAACAUAAUUAUAGGUGACUUUGAAAUAAAAUUUCCUUCAUUAUAUGUGAUUUUUAAUAAUAUAGUAAAAGAUAUUAAUUUUUUAUAAAAACGUGAGUUUUGAAUUUUUUCUCUUUCCAAAAAUGUCUCUAUCCUUUUUUACUAAUAUUUUUAUGUCCAGAAAUUUUCAACCAAUCAUUUCAAAUAAUUAACUAAGUAGUAAUUUAUUCCCAAAUAAAGAUAAAUAUUUUUCUUCUCACGCAUAAUAUCUGCACCGGUCAAUUUUUUUGCCACAUAAUAUCCGUGAAUUUUUUAAAUAUCUCAACAUAAUUAUAGGUGACUUUGAAAUAAUUUCUCCUUCAUUAUAGGUGAUUUUUAAUAAUAUAGCAAAAGAUAUUAAUUUUUUGCCAUUAGAUCUUAUCUAAUGAUUGAAAAUAAAAAUAUCUGUUAAUUUUUGUGACAAUAUUACCCUCGCAUUUAUAUCCUAUUUUCUAUCUUUUCUAAAAUAAAAUAUCUAUAUUUGAACUUGACACGUAGAUUAUUUUUCCUAAAGCAGUAAUAUCCGCACCCGCCAAUUCUUUCGCGUGAAUUUCUCAAAUAUCUCAACAUAAUUAUAGGUGACUUUGAAAUAAAAUCACCUUCAUUCAUUAUAGGUGAUUUUUAAUAAUAUUGUAAAAUAUACUAUUUCCUUAAAAAAUUUAAUUUUAUUUUUCCUAAAGUAGUCAUAUUCCCUAAAGUAGUAAUAUCCGCACAACAUAAUUAUAGGUGACUUUAAAAUAUUCCCUAAAAUAGAAAAUCUAUAUUUGAGCUUAACACGUAAUAGAAAAUCUAUAUUUGAGCUUAACACGUAGAUUUUCUAUAUAUUAAAAGAUAUUAUUUUCUUAAAAAAUCUAAUUUUUUUCUAAAAUAAAAAAUCUAUAUUUGAGCUUGACACGUGGCAAACAUAUAAAGCGCCACGUGUCAGCUUUUCACAUAGGGUUCAUUAAGGAUUCUACUUUAGUAUAUAGUAAUAGAAGAUAGAUAAUUUAAAUAAAAUAUCCAAAAUUUUAAAUAUUAGUAGGUAAAUUUGAGAUAACUUUUAUAUAUUUUGCUUUAAAAAAAUAUGAUUUAAUAUUAUAUAUGCGGAAGGUAUUAUGUGAUUGGAUAUUAUAUAGGUGGUGGAUAUUAUGUGUGAGAAAAAAAAUUAAGAUAUGCGAAUAUUAUUUGUGAUAAAAUAUGAUAUUAUGUGGGCGACGGUUAUUAGAAGAUAUGACAUGCAUAUAAAAAGUGAAAUUUGAUACGUACUAUUUGAAAGCAAUUUAGAUAAAAAAAGUGACAAAUAUUUUGUAUUCGUCAGUCAAUUAGAUUUAUUGACUAAGAAUUAAUAUAUUUUAUAAUAAUUUAAAUAAAAUAUCUAAUAUUUUAAAUUUGAGAUAACUUUUAUAUAUUCUGCUUUUAAAAAAUAUGAUUAAAUAUUAUAUAUGUUAAUAUAUUUUAUAAUGUUUUAAAUAAAAUAUCCAAUAUUUUAAAUAUUAGUAGGUAAAUUUGAGAUAACUUUUAUAUAUUUUGUUUUAAAAAAAUAUGAUUAAAUAUUAUAUAUGCGGAAGAUAUUAUAUUAAUAGGGACCGGUAUUUUGGGAAAGAGGAAAAAAUUCAAAACUAUCAUUUUUAUAAAUAGUAUAGAUCAGCAGUUAACUGAAAAUAAUGUAUAAACAUUCAAAAGAUAUAUCUAUAAUUAUAAACACAUACUUGUUAUCCUCAAGUAGUAUCGUAAUCUUUUUUAUUUCUUUACCGUCCUUCCAGUUUUCUUCCAUUCUACUAAUUCCAGUAAGCUUCCCGAUGACAUCUGAGAUAAUAUAAUAAUAAAAUGUAAGAAUCAAUAUAAUAGAUAGACAUAUUAAAAAUUAAAUUUUAAAAAUUAAAUAUUUAAUGCAUAUACUAACUCUUACCUACUAAAUAUUUGUUAUCAGCGACAUUACCAAGUAUUUCAUCAAAAGGGGUAAAUAUAAAUCCAUACUUUGAUAUGGUCAAAACAUUUUCUAUCACACGUACAACCGUAGAAUAUUGAAAAUUGAUUUUGUAAGGAUGAUUAGUGGUCCUGUAGGAGCCGCUGCUCUGCCCCACUCCAAACUGGUUGAUCACAUAAACUUUUCCUUCCGUAAAAAGGCCUUUAAAUUUAUUCAGAAAAGCUUUUCUUAUCGUUGCAUGUGUUCUAUCUCCCUAAAAUAGAAAAUAAACAAAUUAUAUAGUAUAUUUUAGAAAAAAAAUAAAGCAAAUGUAUGUUAAAUUUGAAAAUAAAAUCGUAUCUUACAUUUUGAGUUUGACUGUUAAUUAUCUGCCAAUACAAAAUUUGAGUUUGACUGUUAGAUUAUUGAUUUCGGAACCAAUAAUUUUAAAUAAUUAAUUAUCUGCCAAUACGAAAUUUGAGUUUGACCCUUUUUUUCGCAACUAACCAUUUCAAAUAAUUCGCAACAGAUUAUUGCUUAUUUCGCAACCAAUAAUUUUAAAUAAUUAAUUAUCUGCCAAUACGAAAUUUGAGUUUGACCCUUUUUUUCGCAACUAACCAUUUCAAAUAAUUCGCAACACUUUGAUACGGUCAAAACAUUUUCUAUCUCACGUACAACCGUAGAAUAUUGAAAAUUGAUUUUGUAAGGAUGAUUAGUGGUCCUGUAGGAGCCGCUGCUCUGCCCCACUCCAAACUGGUUGAUCACAUAAACUUUUCCUUCCGUAAAAAGGCCUUUAAAUUUAUUCAGAAAAGCUUUUCUUAUCGUUGCAUGUGUUCUAUCUCCCUAAAAUAGAAAAUAAACAAAUUAUAUAGUAUAUUUUAGAAAAAAAAUAAAGCAAAUGUAUGUUAAAUUUGAAAAUAAAAUCGUAUCUUACAUUUUGAGUUUGACUGUUAAUUAUCUGCCAAUACAAAAUUUGAGUUUGACUGUUAGAUUAUUGAUUUCGGAACCAAUAAUUUUAAAUAAUUAAUUAUCUGCCAAUACGAAAUUUGAGUUUGACCCUUUUUUUCGCAACUAACCAUUUCAAAUAAUUCGCAACACUUUGAUACGGUCAAAACAUUUUCUAUCUCACGUACAACCGUAGAAUAUUGAAAAUUGAUUUUGUAAGGAUGAUUAGUGGUCCUGUAGGAGCCGCUGCUCUGCCCCACUCCAAACUGGUUGAUCACAUAAACUUNGAGAAAAAAAAUAGUUAGGAAUUUGAAUUCGAAUCUGACUAACAAUCACAAAACUUAUUUCCGAACUCGACGGAUUUCAAAAAUCCAUAUCCAAAUUCAAAACUGACCAAUUUUCCGAAACCCAAAACCAAACCUAAGCCAGAAGACUAGAAUUCAAACAAUUAUUUCUGUUUACCAUAUUUCAAAGUAUUUAUAUAAAACUUAAAUUUUUAAAAUAUAAAUUUGAAUAUAAUAUUAAAUUUUAAAUUUAAAAGUGAAUUUUAAAUUAGAGAAAUUUUAUAUUACUAUUUAAAGUUUAAAUUCAAUGAUCAUAUUGUCAAAUCAUUUAAAAUUUUUCCUAUAUGAAAUGCCAAAUUAUAAAAGGAAAGAUAGAAAGAGAAAAAGGAAACAAAGAAAAUAUAAAAAUUUUGAAAAUAUAGUAGAUGUAAAAUGACUAAAUUGCCCAUGUAUUGAAAGACAAAAAUAUCCUUUUUUGAGGUACCUGGUAACCGGUACCUCUUCCAAAGUGACCUCCUAUUGCAUGUCACAAUUUUAAAAAAACUAAAUCUGAGCCGUUAAAUACGCGUGAAUGAACGGUAACCAAAAAAAAAGAGUAUAGAAGCAUUACUCAAAAUAUAAUUAUAGCUCAUAAAGAAAAUUAUUUCUUCUUUAAGUUUUUAUUAUGAAAAUUUGUAAGAUCCAUCCAUAUUGAUUUGAUGAGGGAUCUUAUGAUGACUAGACUAAUUAGAAUAGGACCACAGGUGCACCGAAAGUUCCUUUGCAUUUUCAAAAUUAAAUUUUUAUAAAUAGUUAUGAAAAAAUUUAUAAGAAAAUUAUUUAUUCUAAUUUUUUUAAAAAAUUUUUGUAACAUCUAUCCAUAAAAAUUUAAUUUAAUAAUAAACAAUAUGUGACGCCCCGACUUCCCAGGGGUCACCCAUCCUAGGACUACUUCCGUCCUAGGACGCUUAACUCUCUUAACCUCUUGGACCUUGCCACCACCCAAAAUGGUUAAGCCGGAUUAAGAGUUUAGCCUAUUAUAUCUUAUAUAUAGGACUAUCCGGGGUCUCACAAUCUCCCCUCCUUUAAGCCCUGACGUCCUCGUCAGGCUCAGACUCACAAGUACCAGGAGAUGUGAGACUUGUCUCGCUAGCCCGUCAUCCAGACCAUGACUCAGCCGAGACUCAUCUCACACUUCCGGCUGGUAAUUGGCUCUGAUGCCAUCUGUGAUGCCCCGACUUUCUAGGUGGUCACCCAUCCUAGGACUACUCCCGUUCUAGCACGCUUAACUCUCUUAACCUCUUGGGCCUUGCCACCACCCAAAAUACUUAAGCCGGGUUAAGAGUUUAGCCUAUUAUAUCUUAUAUAUAGGACUAUCUGGGGUCUCACACAAUAUGAUGAAUAAUUAAAGCAAGUUUAUGUUAAAAAUUGAUUAACUUUUAAAUUUUUUUAUUUAUCUUUACUUUUUUGGACUUUAAAAAAUUGUAAAAUACAAAUUAGGGAAUAUUACUUGUUUCCUUAAAAUUCUUAUGCAAAUUUGCAAAACUCUUCUAAGAAAAUUAUUUUUUCUUAAAAUCUUUUAGAAAAAUUGUGAGAUCUAACUAUGAAAAUUUAACAAAAAAUCAUAUGACAAAUACAUUAAAAAAUUUAAAUAUCAAUAAUGUCAAUUUAGUUUUUUGACUUUAGUAGAAUUUUUAUGUUUCUAAAUUCAAUAAUAUAAUUUUCAAAGUUAAAAAUGUCUAAAUCUCAUAUAAAAUGCUAAAUCCAUCCAAGAAAAUUAAAAAUUGGACCAUAUAAUGACUAAACCAAGUGGAUUUAUUUUCGGAUUUUUGUGAAUUGUAAAUAAAACUUUGUAAUUUUCUAUGUAUCACUGACAUUUCUAUAAGCCUCGCAUGUUCGUGUCGUACACGCGCGUCCGUGUCAUACACGUGUCCGAUGUGGACACUUUUUGAACGCACGUUUAAUGUUGAUUCAUAGCGCAUACAACUAAAAUAAAUAUAUACAUAUUUUUCUUUUACUUUUUCUAUGCAUAUAUAAUGUAAGAUGAUAAAUAUUUUAACUUUUUGAUGAAUAUAUAUAAUUUUUUUGACAAUACAAAUAAAUUAUCUAUGGUGGAGAAUUUUUUUCUUAAAGUAUAUGAACUAUCAAUAAAAAUUUUACUAACUUUUAUUCGUAUGAAAAAUAUAGCAAUAUUUUACCAAAAUCAAUAUUUUAUAUAUAAUAAAAAUAUAUUAUUAUAUUGAUAAUAUUAUAUUUUAUUAAUGGUGAUCAUGCCGUGUCCGUGUUCUAAUUAAUAUUUUUAAAAGCUGUCGAGUCGCAGAGUCCGAGUCAUAUCGUGUUCCGUAUUUUGUGUCAGUGCACUUUUCCUUUUCCGAGGCACGACGUUAACUCGAGUACACAGCUUGAUCGUGCUACAUAACCGGUUGCUGAAGUACCAUUUCCUACUAGCUUAGUCGAAAGCUGCUUUUAGAGAAAACCACAUAUCAAUCUAUUAUGCUGAUGGGGCUUUUGGCGGUGCAGUUGUAUAGUCCUUUUCCUUCUUCCCACACUUUUCCUGCUAGGUUAUUAUUGUAGUUAUGCCAUGUAUUUACAUCAAUUCUUUUUCAUGUACGUAUCACGUAGAACAGGAAUUUGCAUUGUAUUUGAAACUCUAAUACAUCUCUUAUUUAGCGGAAUGAAGAUCGAUUAAAUUCACAAUUUCGCUCUAUCUUUUGCUCCAUUGAAAAAUUGUCGAGAAUUUGAAUGGUGAUCAUGCAAGGUAUCAAUUCUCUUCUAAUUUUUACUGCUUUUUUAAUCCAUUGGUCACAGAACAUAUGGCGAAAUUCUCCGUAAAUUAUUGAAUUUCAAAUUUUUAAAAUUUAACAUGGUAAAGUUUGAUUUCAGUAAACGAUGUAACUUCCAUUUAAUAAAAGAAAGAUGUGGUUGUUAAUUCAGCUGACGCGUCGUCUCUUACAGAUAAUAAGAUUGUUGCAAAAUUGAUGUAACAAUUAAAUUAGCUCACAUGUUAUCGACACAGGUACAAAUAUGUGUACUUUUUAAUUAUGUAUUUGUACCCGUUUGGGUAUCUUUGUACGCAUAAUAUCUGUAUCCAAAUCUAAAUCCAUCUCCAACUAGUUGAAUAAUAUCGCAUUCAUUUUCACCCCUAGAUUGGAACCCGAAAAUCCAAACCAACCUGUUUAAUCGGAAGUAUAAAAAAAAAAUAAAACUAUAAAAAAAAAUUACU